rnacentral:rRNA from 1 species
UACGGGGGGGGCAAGCGUUGUUCGGAAUUACUGGGCGUAAAGGGCGCGUAGGCGGUUUGCUAAGUUGGAUGUGAAAACUCUGGGCUUAACCCAGAGCCUGCAUCCAAAACUGGCAAACUUGAGUACUGGAGGGGAAAGCGGAAUUCCUGGUGUAGCGGUGAAAUGCGCAGAUAUCAGGAAGAACACCCGUGGCGAAGGCGGCUCUCUGGGACGGUACUGACGCUGAGGCACGAAGGUCAGGGGAGCAAACGGG